ensembl:lncRNA uncharacterized LOC114848997
AUGAAGAUGGAGCUGGAAUCACUGGGUCUCUGGCCAGGUUCCCUUCCUGUAAGCAACCCCAUGAAGAUGGUGUCACUGUGGCGUUUCCCACCCCAGCCUGAACUGAUAGACAGCAUAUCACAUUUUCCGUCGCCAUCGUACUUUCAGCUUCACCCGUUUUUCAUAUGGAAGCCGGAGAACGACAUUAUGGCACGGCUGAGGAACACCUACGCCUUGCCUUGUGUUAAAGGUUGUCUUCAGCCUCAGGUUACCUCUGCAGGUGUUGGCAGACCUCGUGUCAUUGUGGGACUCACUGGACAGUACUACCUGUUUUCAUCCAGGCUGUGCUGCAAAGUCUGCAAGAGAAGAUGGUUUGCGGACAAUCCACAGUGGCUGGAAAAGCUUCCAAAGAGGUUUACAAAUGUGUUGCCAGCAACGCUGACCUACAAGAAGGCCAUUUGUAAAUCAGUCAUGGACGAACUAAGACGCACUGGGAACUCCCCCACAGACAUAACAAAUCAAGUAAUGGAGGUAAUGCACCUUAAGUAUGAACGUGCCAACCUGGCUUACCUACUCAGCUGCCAGAACAUUAUGGAUGGUGAGUCUGGAAAGUACGGGCAACAAACCAUCACACAGUUCAUACGAAAGGAAACGAAACCAGCUCCUUUCGGCGAAUAUGGUGAUUCGGACGGCUGGAACGGGAUUUCUGUUUCGUCACACUACCUGAUUGACUGUCUACUGAGCGAGUACCAGCACCAGGAAGGAGCCAUCAACAAACUGCUGCAAGGCACUUUUGGACAUGCUUUCCGCUCAGACCACACCCGCAAGGUUGCACGCAAGGUCACCUUUUCAUCUGGAGCCAUGUCAUCAUAUGCAGUGAUGAAUGAACACUGGAUGAUCGUUUCAUGGGUGAUGGUACAGUCGGAGACAGAAAAGUCACUGAGGCCCAUGUACGAAGGACUGUCUAACCGGUACGACACUGCGGGCAUAGAGAAGGCCCGGUACCACUGGGUAGACAGAGAUUGCUGUGCAGCCUUUAAGGUGGCCGAGUGUGCACAGGGAGAGCACCUACAGUGGGAAGCUUGGCAGACGUCUGAUGUGAUAACUGCUCAGGCCACUUCUGGGACUUUGCUGAAUGUCUGUGCAUCAAGGGCCUAUUACAACACGGCCAUAACCAUCAAACUGGAUCUGUUCCACUGCAUGCGCCGGUUCCUCCGUGAGUGCGUCUCAGAGCAUCAUCCCCUGUACAGUUCCUUUGCCCAGUUCCUGUCUGCAGCCUUCUCUGUGGUGGAUCAGGAAGACCUGCAGAGGCUGAAGGAUGCCUACACGUUUUGUGGCAUUCAACCUGCUAAUCCCACUAAACAGCACAUUCGUGAACACUGCAGGACCAAGAUUCCAGGGCCGGAUGAGUUAAUUCAGAGAGUGGAGGCGGUUUUGAAACACUUCUACCUCGCUGAAGAUCCAAAUGGGACUCGUCUGUUUAAGCCCUCUAUGUUAAAGGUGUGGCGGAUCCAGCGUGUGCACAUCCUGCGAGGUUGUCUGAGUGACCCAGAGGUGGAAGGUGGGAUCCUGUACAGACAUGGAGGAACGCUGCAGUUGAACCAUGUGAAGGGCGAAGGUGCCAAAGUUCCUGUUUGGAUCCCCAUCAGAGGCACAUCUCAGCAGGAGGGUUACCACUUCCACCAGGCUCAGUGGGUCACAGGAACAUGCGUUUCUCCAGAGCUGUUUCAGGCUCAAGGAAUGACUGGGGUGGCUCGAUGGAACUACCAGCGGCUUGUGGACUUGAAACAGCCAGGGGUUUCCCUCCCAGCUGCCUUUGACCCAGCUUUGAUUGCAGACCUCAAUGCAGCGUCUGGACGUGUGUUUGGGACUGUGAAGUAUCCUGCUCUUCAUCUGUGUGGCAAAGACACUGGGGAGAAGUUUGGCCUGGAGUACGUGGAGCCUGGUACCCGUCCUGUUCCUCUGCAGUGGGAUAAGCACAGGACCAAGACGGACUCAACACCUGCCCCAAGUCCACCUCCUCGGAGCAGUUCACCUGUGGCCCAGGCUGAAGCUCUACAAGGACCCCCCACCGCUUCACCAAAGCUGUUUUGUUUUUCACCACGUCCUCCGGUGGAACCUGCAGAUGAGACUCCAGCACCAGCAUGUGGGCCUGUCAAAGUUCAAGAAAGCAUGUUUCCACCACCUCUGCCCCUGAAGCCCUCACCAACUGCUGCUCGCACUGGACCUGUAAAGACAGGAGGACGGGUUUUUGUGUUGGACCACAGGCGCUGGCCAGCUCCUAUGAGGAAGGUCAUCGAUGACUUGCUGACCAAAUACCAUGGACAGAAGGACAUGCUCAGGCUUGUGGACCACGAGUAUGCAGCUCUAGUUCACAAGUCCUGUACGGAUCCGAACAGUUUAUUACACCCCACAACCAAAUUGCACAUUUCCCAGUACGUUAAGCACCUUAGCAAGGCUAUGAACACCAGCUCUUCUCUGAAUGUAAGUCCAGAGAAAGUACAAGAGACACAACAACUCUGGCACACUCUGACAGCAGGAAGUGAGACCACCAACGUGCCUGUUGUGGCAAUGCCUUCUCCUACAACAAUUCCACCCCCACCUGUUCAGUCCCCUGCCAACAUAUCUUUAACACAGGAGGCUAUUGAAAAAAUAGUUUUAGGCAUUAUGGAGAAGCAGCAGCAGCAGAGGCAGGAAGAGGAGCAAAAGAAGGUCCGGACAAAAACCUGUCAGUCUUGUGGGCAGCGCAAAUCGAGGUACCACAACGAUGGUUCCUCGUUCCACUUCUUCUACCAGCAAGGUCCCAUCAGACUUUGCCAAAACAGACUUUUUUCAGCGGGAACUGGACGCUACCAAGAAAAAGGUGGAGGAGAAAGGGCAACAGAAAAGAAAAAGAACUGA